CUUUGGGUCCAGGAUGCCCUAACCGCCCAGUGUUCCUUUUGCUCACUGCCUGCUUGGGAAUUGAAAGAUUAAAAAAAGCACACACAUAGAAAGAGAAAGCUUACAGCAUGCCAGCACGAUUCCUCUGACACUGAGAAAAAAAAGAAGAGCAUUUCUAAAUGUUAUUUUGUUGCAAAAAGUGGAUUCAAUACAAAGGAGACUAUUCCUCCUGGGCGAGCCGCUCCAAAUCAGGCAAAACAAACAGAGCGAGAGCGACAGGCUGAGCCAAGAAGGAUGAGGAUGGGUGGCAGGACUGAGCUGGAACGAACCAUGUGCACCCUAUCUUUCUCUCUUUCUUUUUUCCCUCCCUCUAUUUUUCACACACACGCACACAACGCAUCCGCACACAAUUAGGGCGAAAGCAAGCUGUCCGAGGAGACAACAAAUUUGCUGGAACUUAGCAGAAAACAAAAAAUUGAAGGCGAGUAAAGAUUACAGUUCAGAAAGAGCAAGUAUUCCAGAGGAUAAAGAGAAGUGGAUGGGAUCGAGAACUGCGUGAGAAGAUGGAUGAAUGAAAGGUGAAAGAAAAGAGAGGUCAGAGAUGGAGUCCAUACUUUCAGCUGGCGCAACAGUGCCAGUGGAGCAUACCAGUAAACUACCUCACCGACAUGAGAAAGGAGGGGGGAGGAGAAGGUGAAAAGAGUGCUCAGCAGAUCAUCCACUCACUUUUCAUCCAGACCUGCAGGUCCAAGGCAGGUGGGCAAGAGAGAGGACAACAAAAACCCAUUCACAUGCAGAGGAGGAAGGAGGGAAGACUGGAGGAAAAAAAACAGUCUCUCCACCCUCUUCAUCUCCUCCCCCUGCCUCACUCACAUUCUACCUUUCUCUCUCAAGCUUUCCACUUUCACCUUUCUCACCCCCCUCUAUUUCUUCCUCCACGCCUUCCCGAGGGUGACAGGAUGGGGUGGAGGUGAACGGUGGAGGAAGGCAUUUGAAAAGCAGAGAAAGAGGAGAGUGAAAGAUCAUCAUUUAAUUUGCCUCACAGCUGUGAUCACUUACAGCCUGAGGCCCUCUUUUCCUCUGCAUCAGGCAAGAACGGGGAGAAAGGGAGACAUCGAGGGAGAGGAAGGAGGAAGCAGCAGCCAACCAGCCAACCGGCACAUCAAGAGACCCAGAUCUGUCAUGCCGUGGCCUACACAUCCUCAGGAAAUCAUUGCACAUGGCUGCGGCACAGCAACAGAAACAUGCAACUCUGAAGGAAAAGUUAAAGGAACCUGGAGUGGAACAGGACCUUAAGGAUUUGGAUCAUGACCAUCUUCUCAAGGACAAGCAGCAACAGGUGAGAGAACUAUGUCAAUCUGCAGUGUUUCAACAGAAACCAGGAAGAACAAGGAACAUGACUCUGUAGUACAAGAAGGUACUACAAUGUAACCCAGUAACCCAGAAAGAUUAUGUAACCCAGUGUUAAAAACACAAGUGAAAGUUUAUUAUGUAGUUUGAUGUUAAUUUUUUUGUUUCACAGGAUUGGAAAGUAUAAACAGAUUUUGUGUUUUAUUUUACUUAGAAAAAUAUAUCAAAAACUUCUAAAAAUCUUUAAAAAGCUCUGAAGUAGGCCUUUCGUGAUUGUUUUGCUGAUGGAUUGGGCAACCAAUGGCUGGCAUGGUCUGAUAUUGGGUCAGCCAAUGAGGUUGAUUGUUCCGCCCCUAUCACUACUGCGCUGUGAUUCUGCUCAGAACGCGUCAGACAAGGUUGAGAACUCACAGCUAACCAUUGUUUCUGUUAGAGCCUGAAAGAGCUUAUGUGACAGCUUCCCUUUAUGCCCGUCCCGUCAUACACACAAUGGAGGCCAGUUGGUUAAAUUUUCUGUAAUGAAUGGUCAACACAAAUUAGCACAGUGAGCUCCCCUACUGGUCCACCAGUUCUCCGCGUAUACAGUAGAGCGCUGAACAGACUGUGUCACAAACAGUUAUUACAAUCAGGCUUAACAACAUAUUUUUCUAACAGAUGAUCGUAUAGUGAUAUUUGAGUACUAAUACUUCUUUAAAAUUAAUUUAAUACAAUCUGGUCUUUCUCUUAUAAAUGAAGAAAAACCAAAAAAAAAAAAA